AUGUUUCCCGUUGUUUAUCGUCUCAUUGAGUUGGCAUUGCUACUCCCGGUAGCGACGGCAACAGUUAAAAGAGUCUUCUCAUCAAUGAAAUUGCGCAGCAAGAUGUCUGAUGGCUGGCUUAAUGACUUGAUGGUGUGUUACAUUGAGCGAGAGAUCUUCAAAAGUAUUGAUCUUGGUAAAAUUAAGAAAGAUUUUUAG
rnacentral:rRNA from 1 species